GAUGAACGCUAGCGGCAGGCUUAAUACAUGCAAGUCAAGGGGUAGCAAUACAACCGGCGCACGGGUGAGUAACGCGUACACAACAUACCAUAUACUGGAGUAUAGCUUUGGGAAACUGAAGGUAAUCCUCCAUAACAUUGCGAGAGGGCAUCUGAUUGCAAUUAAAGUUUCGGCGGUAUAUGAUUGGUGUGCGUUUGAUUAGCUAGUUGGUAGGGUAACGGCCUACCAAGGCGACGAUCAAUAGCUGGCGUGAGAGCGCGACCAGCCACACUGGAACUGAGACACGGUCCAGACUCCUACGGGAGGCAGCAGUAGGGAAUAUUGGACAAUGGAGGAAACUCUGAUCCAGCCAUGCCGCGUGAUAGAUGAAGGCCCUCUGGGUUGUAAAUAUCUUUAUCUGGGAAGAAACACUCCUAUUCUUAGGAACUUGACGGUACCAGAGGAAUAAGCACCGGCUAACUCCGUGCCAGCAGCCGCGGUAAAGUAUC
rnacentral:rRNA from 1 species